UGGUCCUGUCUCCAGCCAUCAUAAAGCCUGGGAGAACAUGACGAUACAAGACUAUACCAAGAGCAGCUUCAGUCACCUAAUGGAGCUCUCUCUACAGGGUACUGCUGACUCUCCCUAGCUAGAUCGGAAUCCCUAUUUGGAGGCGCCCUCCCGCCUCCCCCGCAGCUAACUCCCUAGUUCUAACCCAAGCUUCUUGCUUGCUCUUGCUAUAGCCAGGUGCCAAGCCAACCUGGGAGAGAAGCAUCCCUCAGCCAGGAUCUCUACAAGGACACGUCUGCUCCAUGAGGAAAACUUAGGUGCUUUAUUCUCAGCCUUUAUUACAAAGGCACAACGGCCCAGGUAUGGAUCUUCAGCACAUGGGGAACUGCUUUAAGCAAAUUCAUAUAGGAUAGUAGGUAUGGCCCCAAAGGUGUCACCAGGACUAGAACUAAUGACUGAAUAUAACAAAAAGAAUGAAAACAGAGUAAACUCUAUUUUUGUUAAAUGUGUUAUAUUUCUAAAUAUGAGUACAGCAGGAAAAGUCUUUAAAAAUGCUGAAAUGUUAAAGGCCAUUAUCCCUUGGUGGUAGAAUUUCAUUUGACUCAGAAUUUUUCUCCUUGUUUUCCUGGAUUUUCUCAUGUUCCCACAAUGAAUAUACUCUAUUGUGCUUUUUUUUUUUUUAAUUUUUUUUUUCAACGUUUAUUCAUUUUUGGGACAGAGAGAGACAGAGCAUGAACGGGGGAGGGGCAGAGAGAGAAGGAGACACAGAAUCGGAAACAGGCUCCAGGCUCUGAGCCAUCAGCCCAGAGCCUGACGCGGGGCUUGAACUCACAGACCGCGAGAUCGUGACCUGGCUGAAGUCGGACGCUUAACCGACUGCGCCACCCAGGCGCCCCCUUUUUUUUUUUUUUAAUUUUUUUUUUCAACGUUUAUUCAUUUUUGGGACAGAGAGAGACAGAGCAUGAACGGGGGGAUUGUGCUUUUUUUUAAUUUUAAAUAAAGAAAACUAAAGAAUGCUGAGGAAGUAACAAAGGGAAUCAAUACUCUGAACUUAAAUCCGAUCUAAGAGAAAUAUAAGUAAAGUGGAAAUCAUGAGAAUUGGGGCAAAGAAUCUAUGCCAUCUUGUAGUUCAUAAUUCACUAAGGAGAAGGCCACUGGGCAGUAAGACUUGUACCUUGAACCUCUGGAAAGUAGCUUUCAGGAAGUACAGAAACCAGGUUAUUAGUCUGGAGACUGGAGAAGGCAGUGAGCCCCCUGAUCUCCUGGGAAGAGGACUGAAGUCAUGGAGAGAGGGCAACUACUCAAACCAUUCCGUCUAGGCUGGCCUCUGGCGGAGAGUCAUUCUUCCACGGGAAAGGUAGGGGGAAGGGAAAGAAAAAGUCAAGGGGAAGGAACUAAGCCCAGGACAGACGAUGGGCCAGUAAGACCGAUGCCUUCAAUGGUUUCCAGGCCCUACGGCCACACAAACUGCACUCCAGAGUAAGACUUUACAGGCACACUCACAAAGUAUAUGAGAAGCCAGAGGGCAGCUCUAAGCAAAAUCGUAUUAGGAGAUCCUGCAAUAAUACAGACACUGAUCCUCGGCAAAAUGCUAGAACAGAUGACCGCACGCUACAAUUACUGCAGUAAGGAAGCAGUGAUCGUAAGGAAUAAGCACAGGGUUGCAAAAAAAAUGAGUCAUGCUUGUUUCCUGGGGUUUUGCAUGGAUACACCAAGAGAAGGGUGUUUUGCUGUGUGUUUUAGUUCAACAAGGGAUCUGACUGAAAUUUUCGUAAUAUCCUUAUAAACGAGAAGGAAAAAAACAAAAACAAAACCAAAAACACAGGCAGGAUAGUCUGGGUUGGGGGCUAAGCUGAAUGUGCCUCUACCUAAAAGGGCUGAGAUCCACACACCCUGGGGAGUUUGCUGCAAGGUCCACCAGGGUGUCUCAAACUCAGGGGUGGGCCCCAGGGCAAGGGUCGGCAGCUUCUCCUGGGAGGCCCGUGCUUUUUCUACCAGAAUGUUUUAUUCCGGUGUUUUCACUGUGAUGGUCUUUUAAAAAUGAACGCAUGCUAUAGAGAUCACUGGGUGACUGUUGCUUUACCGGGCUUUGCCUGUUUCGGGGCCUGUAUGUGUUUUCACAACUGUACCAGUGCCAAGUGGCGCCGCUCUAACUGCGUGGGCUAAUUAAGACAACUUAAUUCUGCACAUUUAAUUCACGACACAUUUGUGCAAAGUGAGGGAUGACGGCUCUUAAGAAGCGUGGGAGGGCUGUGUUGCACUAGACGCUGCAGGGUAGGCGUCUGCAGCUCAGGGAGCCUGAGGUGUCGAGGCUGUGGCACGCUGCUGCUGACAGCCGCGAUACGGGUUCCAUCAAGUGUCAGCCUCCCAGAAGGAAGUUGCUGAUGUGAUUCUUACUGGCUUUUCUGUAGUUAAUUAAUUUUAUAGGAGCUAGAUCAAUGAGUUGAUAAACAGAUUUCUGUGCACAAUUAAGGUUGCAGCAUUCUAAUGAAGACAAUCUAAGUUGACUCAAAAACAUUUUUCCUUUAGAGCAGUGAUGUUCAAAGCAUUCUGACCACGAACCACAGUUAUAAAAACAAUUUACAUAAAGACUGAGUAUGCGCGCACCCACACGCCUCCCUGUCCUAUGCUCAGGCACUGAGUUUCCUGAAACAAAAUCUACGUUACUCUGUGUGAUGUGCUUGGGUAUUUUUCUACUCUAUUUCAUUUUUUUUUAAAUGCUGGCUGUGACUCACUAAAUUGGUUCUGCGCCCUAGAGGCUGGAAAACGUGGCUUUAGAGUAGUCGAUUCACCACUGAAGUUUGGAAAACCAUGCAAAGACCAAGCAGGCAAGUUCAACUCGCAGAUGUCACAAAACUGUGGGUUAUAAAUACAAUGGGUGUCAGUAUUAGGGUUCAGAGAUCUUUAAAAACUAGUAUGUGCAGUGCUUUUAGAGCAUGAGGCUCCAUCCAGACCUAAAUGAGAGCUGGGUCUGUGCUGUCAUCUGUGGGGUGGCGGGGGCAUCCCUCUCAGCCUCACUGCGCUGUAAGACAAAGGGCACGGGACCUCCUGGGAUUCUAGGAGGCAUCAAUAAUUACUAUGGAGAGCAGCGAGCACACAGUGGGUAAUCAAUAAACAGUAGUUUAAACUUUGUAGUUGAGUACAUCUUGCCCUUGGGUUAAAAAAAAAAAAAAAUCACAUGCAUGCAGAACAGGAAGACAGAGCUUAACAGUGGCUCUCCUGUGAAAAAGCCCCAGUGGGUUCUUCUCAAAGCUAAACGGGAGGCAAUAGAAUCUAGACGUGGUUGCCAAAAAAGCUACUGCAAUCUUGGACUGCAUUUCCAAAAGUUCAAUCACAGAAGAAGAAGUUAAUCGUCCCAGUGCGUUCUGCACAACUGGGCCACAUCUGGAGUGUCAGCUUUCAUUCUGAGGGACAUUUUGAAAGGGGCAUUUUCAAUUGGAGCUUGGUCAGAGGACAGGAGCAAUGGUGUGACCAGGAUGCCAGACUAGUGAUAUCCACCAGGGGACUUAUCCCAUAGGUGGUUCAAGACUUUAGGGUGGUAACUUCAAGAAGGCAGAUUUUGGGGAUGCCUGGCUGGCUCAGUCAGUUGAGCAUGUAACUCUUGAUCUCGGGGUCAUAAGUUUGAGCCCCACACUGCAGGUAGAGUUUACUUAAAAAAAAAAAAGAAGGCAGAUUUUGGAUUAAUAGAAGGGAAAACUUUCAAAAGAUAGAAUCUGUUGCCUUUUGAGGUAAUGUUCUCCCUUUUCUGGAAUCGUUUAGACAGAGGCAGGAUGUGUGUCUCUGUCAGAGAUGGGAUGUCUAGAUGGGGUGGGAAGCUGGACUAAACGAACUUUUAUAAGACUUUUUCAAUUCUCAGGCCAUGUUGCGAUUAAAAACACAAAAUGAGUUACUUGCAGCCAAGGAUGGGAAGGGAAGGCAGGGGCUCUCCCAGGAGGCUCCCCUGGGCUCAGGUUCACUUAGCUAAAAUUGGUGACUGACUCCCGCAGACAUCCUCUGCUCUGAAAUAGGACACCAGAAUGGGACAGAGUGCAAACGACUUGAAAAAAGGCCUUGAGCUUCUUACUCAUCUCCCUUUCUCCCUCUACAGUUGUUGUUACCCUGGACUCAAACUGUUUGGAGACCAGUUUGGGCUCGGAGCAAUUCUUCAGUUAGGAAGUUACAGCAGCAUUUACCGAAGCAGCCUGCUGGUGCGUGACGACCUUGUACCAUUUGGGUUUGGUUUCAUUUUCCCCCCCAGUUGGCUCUUGAAAUAACCCUCUAGAUUUCAAACCAGUGUUUGUAAGUAUCUCUCCUAGCGUCACUCAGAGCUUUGUGGCCCCUCGGGUGCAGGCUUGGGCAACCAAAACAGAGACUGAUCUCCCUACCACUGGAGAACUAUAUCCUGGGAUUAACCAUGAAAGGGAAAAGAGAAGCAUUUCCAGUUGGGUGUUUGGAAAUGAAAAGUGGUUCAGAAGUAAGCAUAGAUGUGUAACUGCAAGACGAUGAUCAAAGGUACUUUAGAACCUCAUUAAUUUGGAACCUUAUAUUUAAAAUGUGUAAUUUGGACAUAAAUUGUGCUUAACUUUGUCUUCAUACUAUUCAAAGGGAGGCUAAAUAGUGUAUGAAGACUGCAAAGGGACUCUUGCGCAAAACCACGUAAUUGUUUUAUGCCACUUCGACCAUUUCAAUUGUACUGCGUGCUUUUAACAGCAGUUUAGAUCCGGUCACUGAAACCUACACUUAGCAGCACUGGUGAGUGGGAUUUCCUAAGCGUUCUUGAAAGAAAAAGCUGCAUUCCUUUCAGAGUUGUGCCAUUCAGACUUUUCAUUAAUUCAGGUUAGCUAGAACUUUCCCAACAGUCCCUUGGCUGGUGAAGUUUUACAGUGAUUUAUUACACAAGCAACAGUAGCUCUCUCAGGCUCCAAGGAAUGCCAAGGGCAUCAAGGGAGGCUUCCAGACUGGAGGGUUGGGGGGUGGGGUGGGGUGGGGUCUAGGGCCUGAUGGCACCACCCCUGACUCUCCUUUCCCCAGACUGGAAGCCAGUCUAGUUCGAACACCAGCUGAGAAGCAGCCCCUGAGUCUCGGGGCUCUUUCUGUACAGGCCUGGUGGAAAAGCUGCCGGCACUUUACUGUUUCCCUCCUUUCUCACUUGCUUAUUUCCCUGAGCAGCAGCAUCAGGACUUUGACCCUGGCUCUCUGCUCUCCCUGCUCCUGCUUGGGUCACCCAAGACCUCCUCCCUGCUAGAUCCAACAGACCCUCGUCAGCCGUUCUUGACCCUGACUAUUCCCAACGCCUCAAAAUUCCCAUGGAUCUUCUCCUAUCUCUCCAGCCUCCUCUUCCCCUUUCGGGUUCUGUUCCUCAACACCCAUCCUUCUCACCCAAUACCUGUUCCACAGGUGACCAUGCCCAUUCACAGGGCUCCAGGUACUGUCCACAGACUGCCACCUCCUGGAUCUGCAUGUGGCUCAGCUCUCCUGAGGGGCAGGCGGGUACAUCCGGCCCUCUGUGAGCCUUCCACUUGGGCGGGCCACAGGACUUCCCACACCGAGCUGCCACCUCUGCCCAUCCUUUCCCCAGCGUUCUCAUCCCUGGCCCCCACAGGCCCCCUUCCAGAUCCUUGAAGCUUUCAUCUCUGCCACUGACCCUUCCUUGCUCAGGGCUCUUUCUUCUCUCUUUACUAGCUAACACCUACUCACCCUUCAUGUCUCAGCCAGGUUUUUCCCCAGAAAAAUUUAUUGAGAGCCCACUAUGUACCCAGCUGUCAUUUACUCAGACCCCUGAGAUGAGGUUAACCCCUCUGGUAACACUCGCCACCCAUUAAAUAAUCACAGGCUUAAUGUCUCUCGAUAUUCGCAGAAGGGUUGGGGGGGGAGGGCGGGGCGGUUUUCACUGCACUGCUACACACAACACAGGGGCCCUUCAGUGCCUGCGGACUCGAUGAAUAAUAGUCUCUGGUGCAACCAACUUCUGUCUGGUAUUUCCAAUCACAAGGAAACCUGAACAUCAUCCUCUUUGCCUAUGACUCAUCAAGCCCUCAUGAGUCUAGCUCCUAAAUAUAAACCUCUCUCCAAUCCACUCACCACUCUCCAUCCCCUUUGCCCCGACCCUGGCACUAACCACCUUCUGCUCGGCCUGGAAUACUGCCCAGAGUCUUCAAAAUGGCUCCCCAGCCUCUGGCCUGGCCCCCUCUAAUCCAGCCUCCACUAUCAGUGUCAGAAGAAUCUUUAAAAUGCAAAUCCCAUCCAGCUGCCAACCCCCCCCCCCCCAUUAUACCUUUCAAUAGCUUCAGAUGAUCUUAGGAUAAGCUUGUAAAAGCCAAAAACACUCUGCCCCUCCCCCUCUACCUCUCCUUUAUCUCUUGCUCUUCAGACUCUCCCCACAGGCACUUCAGUGUUUUCCAUUUCUGGAACUACAACACGCCCUCUCUCACUUGGAGCCUAAGCCUGCUCUUUCUGGCAUUUGUCUGGCUAACUCCAGUCCUUACAGCUCGGUUUAUAAUUCACUUAAGCAGGGAAGAUCUUUCCUGACCUCUUCCCUCCCAACCCCCAAGUCUGGGGCAAGAGCCCGUGCUGUGUGCCUGUGUAAAGGUCCCACAGGCCCCUUCCCCUAUCACAGGGCAAUGAGUGGUGUCUGUCCUAGGGGUCUUUCCAAUGGCCUGGCUCAGGAAGCACCGGUAACAGGAGGAGGCCUCAGACAGGACCCCGAAGCCCUGGCCAUCAGACUGGGGGCCGCUCCACUGGUCUUUCACUUGAGAACAUUACUCUUGAGACACAGGGAAUGAGAGAGAAGGGGACCUAAGAAAUACCACAAUAAGCUUUAGAAAGCUCUUUUCCCUCUGGAGAGAACUUGGGUCAAACUCCAUAGCCAGGACUUGGCGGUACCUGGCUUUUUUUUUUUUUUUCUUUUUUGGCCUCAUGGGUUCCUACCAUGGCCUUCUUGGCCAUCCGCUAUGGUAUUUCCCCUGGAGGAAUUUCACUCUGCACAAACAGUCCUUCUGCAGGCUAUUUUGGUCAGCUCAGCUGGGCCAGAAGCCAACAAAACAGUUUCUCCCAGUUGCCUGGCCUGGAAGAAUUCAGACUUGGUAAGGGAAAAGCAAGCCGUGGCUGGUUUUAGAGAACAAAGUUGGACCUUGAAGGGAGUUCAUAAAUGGGCUGAGAGAACCAGCCUGCACGGAAGGAGCAGCAACACUGGUGGUUAAAAACACCAAACUGCAGACAAGCAAGACUCCAGCACCACAAUAACCAUAUAAAGGAGCUCAGUAAGGGUAAAAGGAACUUCACUGACUUUCCAUAAAUGAGAACAACUCUGAGUGGCGGCUUGCUAAUGCCUCAGGCCAAAGGCGGCUCAAGCCAGGCCUCUUAGUGGGCCCACGAUUUCAUCAGGAAGUUAAAAUUCCCUUCAUCAGUUUGAAGCACCUGGGGGCUGAGGGGGUUAAGCUUCUGACUCUUGGGUUUCAGCUCAAGUCAUGAUCUCACGGUUUGUGAGUUCAAACCCCGUGUCAGUCUCUGUGCUGACACUGCAGAGCCUGCUUGGGAUUCUUUCUCUUUUUCUCUGCCCCUUCCUCACCUCUCUCUCUCUCUCUCUAAAACAACAACAACAAAAAUUAAAAAAAUUCACGGGGCACCUGGGUGGCUCAGUUGGUUAAGCAUCUGACUCUUAGUUUCAGCUCAGAUCAUGAUCUAACGGUUCACGAGUUCAAGCUCCACGCUGGGCUUUGCACUGACAGUUUGGAGCCUGCUUCAGAUUCUCUGUCUCUUUCUCUACCCCUCAUCUCCCCCCCUCAAAAAAUAAACAUUAAAAAAAAAUCCCUUCAGCAGUUAAAAGCUGUUAUUUCUCCCCUUUUCAAACAAAACCCUUUGCAAGAGGUACCCAUAAGUGCUGCCCCUAAUUCCUCUCCUGCCAGUCUUUCUUGAACCUGCUCCAGGUUUUUGCCCAUGCCACAAAGACUGCUUGUGCCACCAGUGACCUCUGCAUUGCUAUAUCCAACAGUUAAUUCUUAGACCUUAUUUUAUGUGUUGAUCUGACAGCUGACCCCUCUUUCUCCUUGAAACACUUUCUACACUUGGCUUCGGGAACACACUUGCCAGGUUGAUCUAUGUCUCUAGCUACUUUUUCAAAGUAUUCCUUUGCCGGGUCCUCCUCUCCUCUCAAAUUCUAACUGGUUGAGUUGCCCCAGGGUGCAGUCUCAGCAUUUAUUUUUCUUCUGUCUAUACCUAUUUCCUGGGUGGUUUCAUCUAGCCUCACAGCAUUUUAACAACCAGUAACAUACAGGUUCUAUAUAACGAUGACUCCCAAACUUAUAUCUUGUAUAUCCGACUGCCUACUGACACCUCUUGGAUAUGUCAACAAGCAUCUCAGAUCUAACCAAUGCCUGGUAUCGUCCUAAUUCUGUGUCUCCUUCAAACUUCCCCGUGCAGUGAAUGGAAUUCUGUCCUUCCAGCAGCUCGGUGCUAAAACCCUGUACGGCAUACUUGACCCUUCUUUUUUUCCACACUCUACAUAUGACAGCCAGCAAACAGUGUUUCGGUUCAAGGUAGAAAAUGCAUUUUGAAAGUACAAAAUACAUUCAGAAUCUGAUUGCUUUCACCACCACCUGUUAUCACCCAGAUUCAGAUCCUCAUCAUCUGUCACUGGGUUAACUGCAAAAGCCUCCUAGCCGGGCUUGUGAUCUUGUUCCCGUCAGUCUGCUCUCAACAUGCAUCCAGAAUGAGACCCAUCACACUUAAGUGAAAUCACAGUACUCCUCUGCUCAGAGCCCCCCAAGAGCAUCCUGUCUCCCAUUCAAAGUAAGAACUGAAGUCCCCACCGUGACACAUAAGGACCCUAUCUGACCUAUCCUGUCCCUCCUCUUCACUACUUCAGCCACGCUGGUCUCCUUGCUGCUUUCCAACAUACUAGGUACAGCCCCUUCUCAGGGCCUUUGCACUUGCUGUCCUCCUUGGCUGAGUUCUCAACCUCCCCCGCCCCCCACCCCAGACUGAGCAUGGCUCAAUCUCUCCCCUCCUUCUGUGGCUUCACUCACAUGUCACCUUCUCACUGAAACCUUCCCUGACCACCCUAUAUAUUGCACCCUUUCACAUUCUUCUGUCUUCUCUUUUUCUUCGUACCACUUCUCAUUGUCUAAUAUCCAGUAGUUACUUAUUUAUUGUCACCCACUAAGAUGUAGGCUUCCUAAAGCAAGGAACUUCUCCUUCCCUUACCCACCCAUGUAUCCCUCCUACCUGGCACAUAGUAGGUGCCUAGUGUAUAUUUUUUGAAUGGAUGAGUGAAUGAAUCCUGGAGACUGCAGAGUGGGAGAGCCUAAAUGGAGUUUUAAGAACCACAGGAGAAAACCCACAGAUGUGCGUGUCCUGGCACGAGGCUGGAAUCCACCCGCCAGGUCAGCUCAGCUGAUGCUGUCCCCGAUGGAACUCCCAAGCCCGCCCACUGCCUCACGCAGGGACAAGUACCUGUGUGCAGACCCGCACAGUCCAGUCCUGCACCCGGACAAAGAUCUCAAAGCACACACCUCAUCACCACACACCAGGCACCGCUUUUCAAUGUUUCUUUCAAUGAACCUGCACCAGGGAAGGGGAAUUCUUUUCCAAAUGAGUUAAGAUAAUGAGGGCUGGCUAUAUGAAUAUGCCUCCUCGAAAUGUGACUGUCAUUUGCUAGUUUGCAUCCUGCCUGGGUCACAGCCAGUGGCACUGGAAGGGACACUGGAGAAGUGCGUGGGGACCCAGGGCAGCUCUUCACCCUGACAGAGCAGUCCCAGGAAAUGGUACAAAGAAUACUUGGUCCCAGACCGCUCUUAGGGAACAGGAGAGAAAAAGAAACCAAGAUACACUUUUUCCCCCUAGAAGACCACUGUGUACAAACACGUGUUUUCUCUGCUUUGGCACAUUUACUUGUGAGUCACGCCCACAUUCAUCCCCGGCUCGGACCAGUUGUGAAAUGAGCACUGACUUCAUUUCCCCUGGGAAGAGAGGGUUGGCUUACCAUUUACCGUUUGGAAGGCUGGGAAAGGUUUUGGUCUGUCUUUAGGCUAAUCUGAGAAGCCUUCAGCCCGACACUGGCCAGGGGCAGAAAUACUCCACUUCCAAUCACACAGCCCUGCCUGCUGUCUCUUAGUCCCUAGUCACACUCUCUGGGAAGCCGCUCCAUGAUUCCACUGAACCCCAGGGGAAAGCUAACAAAUACGCCAAAGAGGAAGCUCUAGAAAGAGGACAUUUGGCAGUGGGCAGGCCAGAGUCUGCUGGUCGUUCCUGGGCCACUUUUCACCCCGUGGAUGAGGUGAAAGAGGCCACCUAACAGCCUAAGUCAUGGCCUAAGAGCAAACCGGCAUCUCAGAGCCCUCAGUCUCAAAAACAACAGUCCCCCAAGCUAAACGUUGGCAUUACGACGCGGUGAGGCUUCCGGCCAGGUACAGCACACAACUCUGAAGCUGACACCAGCUGCAGCUAAGGAAUGAGACGUCCAAAGGAGGGAUGCAAACAGCUGGACCUGCACACAUGCUCUUCCGGUGACACAAACAGCCUGGACAUCUCAACACUGCUCGAAGCCGUUCACGGGGACAGACUGAACAGCAUCUAACCUGGGCACUCAGCCCUUUUGUGCUCCCUUGCUCCUGAGCAGAGCUCGGCUCCCCAGGGCACGUCCUGAUGAGAAGCACACGGUAAUGCCCUGUUGCCGGUGACGGCCUCGGAGCACCCAGAAAGAGCACCUCCUGGCCGUGUGGGGGAAGCUAAGCAGCGAGUGCUGACUGAGCUUGCUCCUGGGUUCUCUUUCUAGCAUCGUGUGAGGCAGUGGAAAAAUCACUUUUCCCUUUCAGAAUCCUGUCAACUAGGACAAAUCUACCAGUACCACCGGGGAACAUCUCUUCCAGGGCAAUCUCUAAUCCUUUCCCCAAACUUAGGCUGACAGUGCCCUGGAGUUGGUAAUGCCCCAUGUUUUUACCCUCCUAAUUCGUAGCAAAAAACAAAUAAGCAAAAACGUCAACGAAUUCAUUCCAUAAUGAUGUCCACCUCUCAGUCCAGCAUGUGGGUCAAGUGUUCCUCGUUUAGAACUUAUGAGAAGUUCCCUAAUCCCGUUAAGCUAUCCAAACUCAUAAGUACUGGCGCUUCUCCAAAUACAUUUUACUUCAAGUCUUCAGCCCGCAAGGUUUCAGACUAGACCCCAUAAUUGUUUAAACUCAGAAGAGUUCACAUCUCUACAAUUUCUAAUACUCUGUAUACACUUUAAUUACUACAUUUUUCUAUCCUUGGAAGCAAGCCUUCCAAUUUGUGGGUAAACAGAGAACAGAGGGAGUGAAGGUAAGUCACAGAAGAAGAUGCUACAUUUCCAUCAUAGCAAUGUAUGGUGACAAAGGUCUAGAAGAUUGCUGAACUCAAGCCAGUACCAGGGUCUACCGACCAGUGGCAACAAGCUUAGGAUGUCUUCAUGAGGGCCCUGGUUGGGCAAUACUCUCUGAAAGCAGAGUCAGGAAUUAUCACAUGCCUAUUGUAAAGGACUGUUCAAGCUACAAGGGACCCUGCAACUUCUCCAAAAGGCUGCUAGUAAUCAACGAAAGAACGAGGAAGUUCAAGGACAAGAUAUCAAAAUGAACUGCCCUAUAUGCUAUUAUGCCACGAAGCUCCUUUACCCAGAUAUUUGCCAAAAUCUUCUUUCAGCUUCUCUCCUCCGACAGGCCUCCGGAGGCCCAAACUUUAAUAGAAUCUGAGAGAAAAAAGCCGGCCAGUCUAUGUGCUGUCAACACUGGUGCCAAACUCUUCCUCCUGGAGCCAGCUCCCCUUACAGGGCAGUGAGGUGAGGAUCCAAUUAUGAACUAAUUCCACUUGGGUCUCCUUGGCAAAGACAUUGUGUCUUUAGCAGCCUAGCUCAGGGAGUUUAUAAUUAUGUCAGACCGGCUUUUUUUUUUCCUUGUUGUUACUGCUUUUAAAUGAAGAGGGUUAAGCCUCUGUACAACCAAGCGGAAGAACCAGAAUUAGAAAACUUACCAAUCGCCCCAGCCAAUGAGAAUCCAUUUCCAACAGGUAUUAAUGCCUGUUGGAAGCCACUGGAACAUUGACAUCAUCAGCCCAACUGAUAGGUUGUCUGACAGAUUCGCCCCCUUCAUCGCACACAAGAAUUUAAAACAAAACAAGACACUGCAGUUAUAUUCAUUAUUGCAGACAACAGGUUUCUUUGUGUUAUUAAUCAAAAUGACUUCUAUGGUGUUGACUUCACCACUGUUCCCUCAACAACCUCUCUGUGAACUGGCCAACACCCUAAACUUUCUAGCCCUAAAAAUCUUAUCCAAAAUACCAACUCAACGCUUAGCCCUCCAUUGUGAUACUUAAGGCCUUCUGGGGUACAGCAUGCCAAGUCGUAGACAGUGCAUGCUAGUAUACCUUGAAACAGUCAUCACCCUUUUUUCUGCAAUUAAAUCAGCAUAAUGGGGGACUGUGAGCCAAUUCCUUGCUUAAAGCAGAUCUACAAGCUCUUCCCUCCCUUUCUCUAGGAAACCACAAAUAAGGGAGCAAGAAGUAGCCUCAAGAAGAAACAAACUUUGGGAGAAUGUGCACUGAGAAAAGCCAGAUGGAGUCCCCCUGGAUCAAGUUAAUUAAGAAAUAAACA
rnacentral:lncRNA from 1 species